GGGAGGCUGGGAAGUAUGGUCUUUAUUUGGGCAGCCUGGUGCCCAGCUCUCAACAGGGGCAUGGGUCCCUGAGGAAGGACUGACAUCUGGGUCAACAACUAGCACUGAGAGGGAGGGAAGGCUAGGAAACAACCAACGCGCAGCGCUUUCCCAGGAAUAUCUCAGAUGUUUAAAGUUAGAAAGAUAGCUUUAGCAUUCUUCUUCCUUCUAAACUUAAAUUCUCCCCAGCUCAGAAUAAGAGAAGGUAAAUGAAAACAGCUUCCAUAAAUAUGCUACACCUCUGAGACAAAGAGGAACUCACAUUCUCCAGCCCAAGGGAGGGAGGAAAACGUAACUGACUGUGAAGGUUAAGGUCACAGACACUGGGACCAGCUAUCCUCAGUCUGUGGUGGAAAGCGAACAGGCACUUACAUUACUCAUAAGGAAACAUUUCUUGUACUCUAGGCUGUUAGACUCCGGAAUGGGUCAACAAGUGAUAUUAUUAGAAUUUUUCUCCUGCUUUUUAAAAUACAGAUGAAUUCUCAACUGUCUUUGAAACUCUGAAUUUCAUUCCACCAGAUGCAUGAGAGAAUGAACUGAAGAAUUCUAGAAUUCUCUUCAAGUCCUUUACUUCCAGGAAAUAGAAAAAUCUGUUUGCUGUUUGUUUGAGCAGCUCUACCACCUGCCCAGCACAAUGAUGGGCCCUCCAGAGGAAGAGAAAAAAAGGAUAUGCCUCUGCACUCAGUGAGCUUACCAUGCACGUAGAGAAGCAGUUUCUAUGGCCUCUCAGUACACAAUUGCGAAGGAGCUUCCCAGGCGUGAUCAUAGGUGAAGUUUUCUCAUUUUACAAGAAAUGUCUUCCCUCUGAACAGUCCCUCCAAUAACCUGCAAGAUCCCCUAACUUACAGGGCACCCCCUAACUUUGGGGGCAUGAAGACUUUCCACGGGGUACAACUUGGAUGGUCUCAGGAGAAUCAACUUCCAGAUCCUCAUUCUCCACAUAUGCUCCUUCCUAAGGUGGUUGGACUGAGAAGCUGCUGGAGUUCACAGUAACCUUUCUCCCACUUGAUAAAAGAAAGGUGCAGCCGCCUCAGGGCAAUAAAUUCCCAGAAGUGCCACCCCACCUUUUCUUCUUGGCAAGCUCUUACUCACCUUCUGACACCCACGGCCCAGAGAGCCAGACAUGAGAAGAGGCAUGUCAGGGGAGCUACAAGAAGUCUGCUGCCUGCUCUAUCCAGCUGGGAACAUCUUGAGGGUAUGGAUCCCUCCAUAUUCGCCUCUCCAUUCCCAUGAAUAAAAAUAUUAAUGUAUCGAUGACAGGGCGCUGCUCCAGUAACAGCCAGGAGGAUAUCAUCUUCCUCAAGGCCAAAUUUUCUGUGUUAGGUUGGAAAGAUGGGGACUCUCAUUAUAGUUUCAGCAUCCUAUACAGAUCUAAAUCUCUUGUCACCUAUAGAUACAGUUAUGGAAAUGUUAUAUAAAGUGAAAAAUGGCACGUUUAGUUAAUAAAAAGCCACAUGUUAAAUACUGUGUAUGCUGUGCUCUUAUUUGUUUUAAACAGAUGUAUGCGCACAUAGGCUCAUCUCUGCAUGGACCGUCUUGAGGAGCGUUCCUGAGGGUGGUAACCAUGGUUGCCUCUGGAAACAGGGAAACUGGGGUGAGGAGAGAGGAAAAUUGAUGUUUCAUUAUGCACCUUUUAUGCAUGUUGAAAUUUUUAUUCCACAUACGGAAUACAUUUUUUAAACAUUAAAUUAAAAAGUUAAAAGACACUUCACACCCAUUAGGAUGGCUAUUAUCAAAAAAAAAAAAAAAGAAAGCAACAAGUAUUGACAAGGAUGUGGAGAAAAGGGAACCCUGUGCACUGCUGAUGGGAAUGUAAAGUGAUACAGCUAUGGGAAUCCAUAGGGCGGUUCCUCAAAAAAUUGCAAAUGAACUACCCUAUGAUGAUCCAGUAAUGAUCCAGCAAUUCUGCUGCUGGGUGUAUGCCCAAAAGAAGUGAAAGCAGGGCCUCAAAAAGGUAUCUGUACCUCCAUGUCCGUAGCAGUGUUAUUCGCAAUAGCUAAAAGGUGGAAGCAACCCAUUGAUGGAUGAAUGGAUAACCAAAAUGUGGGAUCUACAUGCAAUGGGCCAGUGUUCAGUCUUAAAAAGGCAGGAAAUUGACAGGUGGAUGAACCUUGGAGACAUUAUACUAAGUGAAAUAAGCCAGUCACAAAGGACAAAUACUGCUUGGUUGCACUUAUAUGAGGUAACUCGAGUAGUCAAAUUCAUAAAGACAGAAAGUAGAAUGGUGGGUCCCAGGGGCUGGAGGAGCGAGGACUGAGGAGUCAGUGUUUAAUGGGGACAGUUUCAGUUUGGGAAGAUGACAAAGUUCUGUGGAUGGACGGUGGUGACAGGUGACAGGCACAGCAAUGUGAAUGUACUUAAUGCCAGUGAACCGUAAACUUAAAAAUUGUAAAGACUAAAGUUUACGUGUAUUUUACUACAAUUAAAAAGAAAAGUUUCUCAAGUCACAUAUCCCUUUGGCUCUGCCUGUGCGGCUGGAGCUGAACCUCUCCGUGAGCCCUGCAGGCAGCAGGCAGCGCCAGUCCAGCGGCCUCUGAAUAAUGCAUGAGUCAAAGGGUGGUUGUCAGGGAGGGCCCCCUCCAGGGCUCUGCUGGCCCUGCUGACCACGGAGUGCCCUUUGGGAGGGCUGGUUUGGGUGCUGGUGGAGCAGGUGCUGGGCUGGAGUCUGACCUGGCCCAGGCUGGGGGCAUCCUGGUGUAAACACAGGUUGCCAGAGCUGAGGCCUAAUUGUGACAAGGUUCAGGCUUCUCCACAUGCCCCAAGGAAUUGUUGCAAGAUGCUCUGGAUGAAGCCAUGGGUGUCACCCCGAAGCAUCCAGUCCUCCCCCAGAAGGGAUGAGGGGUCCCUGUUUUCCUUCGAAAGAAGCCAGUACCCGGACCCCGGGAUCCUCUUCAAAGUCUAAAGAGGCAAAUAGGAGAAAUAAGAAGAUCCAUCUCUUUCCCUCACACCUUGACACCCAAGUUUCUCUCUUUAUCUUUUCUUUUCAGCCUUUCAUUUAUUUUUUUUAAAGGAAGGGGCCUUUCUGGGUAAUUAGAGUAUUUGGACCAUUUCUGUGCAUGAACUGGCAAUUCCAGCUUUAUUUCCCGCUUUCUCCUUACCAGUAAAAGUGGCCCCUUUGAGUCCGGACCCCAUAGGCCCCCUGCCCCAGGAGGCUCACUAAGCGACGCUGGGGGAGCCGGAUUCCAGUCCCACCUGGACCCACUUCCUAUAGGAGGGGCCUGUGGCUUCCCUGGGUCUCAGGUUCCUCAUCUGUAAAGCAGACCAGGCGCCCUCAGAGGUUCCGUGCAUUUAUCAGUUAGGAAGACAGUGGCAGCCAGGGAGUCGAAUAGAGGAAAUGUAAUGUGGGGAGCUGGUCACAGAGACGGUGGAAGAGCUGAAAAGCCAAUCCCCCACAGAAGUGAGAGCAGCAAGUUUCCACAUUUGGGAAGGAAAUGUUAUCAGCACCUGAACUCAGCAGUCUGGUGAAGCUGGAACCGUGGAGAGUGGCUGCCCAGCAGGAGCACACUGGCAGGGGGCCGCUGUUAGAGACCCCGGCCAGCUCAGUGGGAGAACAAGGGGAACAGCCUGGCUUCUCCCUUCCUCCAGCCCUCGGAUUCACCCUCACUGACUCACUCGGGCUGAACCCAGCCGGAAGCCAGGCAGCAAGACAGCCUGGGAGAAGUCGUUUGCAGAAGACAGAGGGCUGCAGUCCCAAGCAGGGCAGGGGAAUCCGGGCGAAUGACGAGCAAGUCCGGCCGCGGCCGCUGCCAUGGUCCCAGCCUCAGAGGGGAUUUUUCCGUUUUUGUUCUGUCCUGGCAUUUCUGUUUCAGAUGAUCCCUAUGCAAAGGAAUUGAAGUCGGACAGAGUAGAAACAUUUCAGUUCGGCUGAAACUUCAGUUAGGCUCCCACUUGUGUUUACGCUCACAUAUCACUUCUGAACCCCCAAAGUGGAUUUGUGUCCUCUGGCUCUCCCCUUGCCCAACUGAGCAUCCCCCGACUCACACUUCUGCCCCACAUUCUCUCUCAGCAAGCGGCAGGCUGUGCCGGGCAGGUGUGAGAUGUGGGCCAGACACAAACAGAGCUAGAUUCACCCGGGCUGCUGGGGAGGGGGAGGCAGUGUAACAGGUUCCGCACCAUCUGGAGAAGCAGGAGCAUUAUUUCCUCCACCAGGGCUGGGCUUCCAGGUACAGAGAGCAGAGGUCACUGUGGUCCAACAGGCUGAGCAUAGAUUAGGAACUCAAUUGUUCUUUGUUUAGACUCAGCUGAGGCACCCAACCUUGUGUGACUUUGAGCCAAACUCAAUUCUUUGGAUCCAACCUGCUUUACGAGACGAGGAAGACGUGACCAGGAACAUCAGCGAAGUACUCUGAAACGUAAAUGGACAACGACGGCAAUACCCAGCAUUCAUACCGUGCCCGUCCUCUGAGGCGCGUUCUUAACACACAAUCUCAUCAGUCCUUGAAAUCAUCCUCGUGAAGUAGGGGAGAGACUUUUAUCCCCAUCUUACAGAAAGAAACCCAUGCACUGAGAAUAUACCGGGCCCAGCACCGUGGGUCAAGCUGGCACUGGAUUGAAGGUCUCGUGAGUGUCAGCCCGACCUGCUUCUACUGAGCCAAGGAGGACACAUGAGCUCCUCAGCCCGAGUCCACAGAGCAGCUGAAGAAUGUGGGGCUACGCUCUUCACCAUUAGGCCUAGAAAGGGGAGAAGGAACGAGUGAGAAGAAGAGAGGGAGUAAAGGAAAAGGAAGGGGAGCAAAAGUAGAGAUAAAGGAAGACUUAUGAUGGGCAAGUUGGAUAGGAACAUGUCGCUCAGGGAAUUGUUCCGCCGCGGUUCUUAAUUACAGCAUGAGAGAAAACCUGGCUUUGCACAGGAUGUCUUCCAUCUUCGCCCUCGGUCCUGGAAAUCCACCAGGGUUACUAUUCAGAAGAGUAAAGAGCCACUCUGCUUCGUUUCUAAUCUGGGGUCCUCCCAUUAUCAGCUGGCCUUUUCGGCUCCCCCCGCCCCACCCCUUAGGGCCCAGUUUACGACACUUAAACUCUUGUUCCCUUUUCUGUAAGGUCCUAUUGUGUAAGGCGGGAGAACAGAUACUCAUGUGGGUGUGCUGAAGCUCAGACAUGUUUAUCUGCACCUGAACAGUGGAAUGCUUUCACGUGGCGGGAGAGUGGUAUCCGCCACCAUUCUUUGGGAUUGCGAGGGUCCUCUUCCCACCCACAGCAGCAUAUCUGGGCUCUUGCCGAAGACAAGCCCUUACAGAAGUUGGGCAGAUGUAAUUUACCAAGCAUGUCAAGGGUUGGGAAAGAUGUGGCUAAAGGGUCUAGCUUGUGCAAGGCCUUACGUGCCCGCCCCCCUCUGACAGGCACGCUCCCGGCCACGCUACAGCACCGUAUUCUAGCUGAGCCUUUUGCUGAAAUGAGAAAUAGCAUCUCCUCUAGUUUAGACAGCCCAACACACACCAGAAACACAAAGUCCACUUUUGCUAAUUUUCAACCCAAGGGGCUUUCCAGAAAGUGGAGCUUUAUAACAGAACAGCUUCCUGGACCGCAGGCAAGCCUGUAGCAAUGAAUCCAGGCUAUAAUUCUGAUUGCACCCUGCAAACCAGUAAAACUUACUGUGUACUUAAUAUGCCCACCUCACUGUUUGCCAUCAUGGAAAUCUACUCAAGCUGCUCAGUGCUGCGAUUACAGCCCUCUGUUCAUGGUGUGUAGGGAAAAUGACGUUUAUUCUUUGGUUAAUGUUGUCUCUCUCGGCCCCCAGAGUCAGUAAACAAACAAGUUGUCCUUGGAGUGAAUGCCUCCAUGUCGGCGUCUCCCCAUUUCUGCGCCGCAGCCCAACAACGAAGCCCGUAGCCCUCUAUCAGACUGUGUGCAGAAUGAGCAUUCUCGGCCCCCGCGUCCUGCUGUAGCAUUUGGAGGACGCCAAGUUAUUGAUGGGAACAGGUGCUCAUAAUUCGGCAUAACCCACCCGAGCCUUAUUUCACUUUCUCU
ensembl:lncRNA